AUUGAGCGCUGGCGGCAUGCUUUACACAUGCAAGUCGAACGGUAACAGGCCGCAAGGUGCUGACGAGUGGCGAACGGGGGCGUAAUGCAUCGGAACGUGCCCAGUCGUGGGGGAUAACUACUCGCAAGAGUAGCUAAUACCGCAUACGAUCUAUGGAUGAAAGCGGGGGACCGUAAGGCCUCGCGCGAUUGGAGCGGCCGAUGUCAGAUUAGGUAGUUGGUGGGGUAAAGGCUCACCAAGCCAACGAUCUGUAGCUGGUCUGAGAGGACGACCAGCCACACUGGGACUGAGACACGGCCCAGACUCCUACGGGAGGCAGCAGUGGGGAAUUUUGGACAAUGGGCGCAAGCCUGAUCCAGCAAUGCCGCGUGCAGGAAGAAGGCCUUCGGGUUGUAAACUGCUUUUGUACGGAACGAAACGGCUCUGGUUAAUACCCGGGGCUAAUGACGGUACCGUAAGAAUAAGCACCGGCUAACUACGUG
rnacentral:rRNA from 1 species